AUGAAGAAUUAGGAUCUCAACCCUAUUAAGAAAAGUUAGAUUUUCUCGUUUAUCAUAAGAGAGGGCUAUGAUAUUCGAUAAAAUAGUGGGAGUAACAAUUAGAUAAAGUCCUAGUCUAAUUGUAUAUAUGUCAUCAUGAUUGAUCUGUUUAUGUUAGUUUUGUUUGUUAUAUAUGUAGAAUAAAAUUCUGCAUUAAUGGCAUCUUCACUAUCACUAAGAGGCAUCUUAGAUGCCAACAAAUUGACCGGUUCAAACUAUGUGGACUGGUUGAGGAAUUUAAAGAUUGUACUCACUCAGGAGAAAAUUUCCUACAUCUUUGAAACCUCUGAUCUUGGAUUAAUAGGGGAUGAUGCUACUAAAAGUAGUAAGAUAAAGAGGAAGAAAGAAAAGAAAAUCUUUGGAUCAAAUACCUGUUUCCAUUGCGGCAAGGAAGGCCACUGGAAAAGAAAUUGCACGAGUUUUUUUGCAACUGUAAAGCCUGAUGCAAGAGUUGCAUCAGAAGUAAUCCAAGAGACCCAAUAACAUUGGGUUUGAGCCCAAUGCCCGGCAGCCCGAGCUCAACAAAUUUCCUAGCUGCCAUGCAUGCAUGAAAUCCCAGCCGUCCACGUCUCAUCCGAACCUGCAUCCAAUAAAACAUCACGACCAUCAACCGUCCGUAUCAGCAGCCGUCCGCGUGCAACCCCCAAGCAUCUCCCACGUCCGCUCCUCCCAGUAGUCAGCAUUUUUCAUGCACGCCCCAUUCCUCGUCAGCCAUGAAGCAUCCUGUGAUCGCGUCUGGCUCCACCCUCUUCCGAAAACCCAGCAACCUCCCAUGCCCGUCCGACUGCAAGCGGGAUCCAAGCAUCGCGUCCAGCCAUCCCGCCGAUCACGACUGCAGCUCCUCCGCCUUUGCUCCCUUCCGUUUCCGCAUCCAAGCAUGCGUGGCAUUCAACCUCCAGCCCUUCAUCCGAAUCAAAGAUCUCAGCCUCAUCCGUCCGUGAUCCACCUCUUCCGCAACGUUCCAGCAACAAGCCGUGAUCGGCUCCUCCAUUCCAGCUGUCGGCAUUCAACGCCCAAAUCCCAGCGCCCCAGCCGUCUCCCCCUUUCGGAUUCGUCCAGCCUCCUCCGUCCCAGCCGCUCGUGAAGCACCUCAUCCGCGCCGGAUCUUCACCCGUUUCAGUCUCCCAGCGUCACGCGAUUCAUCCCAAGACUGCGCAGCCCGGACAAUCCUCUCAAUGUAAUCAGAGGGGGGUGGAUGACCUAUUUAAGAGUGGAGGAAUAGGGAAGAAGGAGUGCACGGUUGGGGUGGAGACCAAGAAAUAGAGGAACCAAGGAAAGGGCUCUCGGUCGGCUGGUCCAAGGAGGAAGAAGAACCAAGAACAGAGUGCUCUGUUCUUGGAAAGAAAGAAAAAAAAAGAAAGAAGAAAGAUUAGUUUAUGUCAAAGUCCCACCGUGGGAAAGGAAGGGAUUUUCUCAGUUUCAUUUUAUUUUUCUAUUUGCAGAAGAAAGGAGCAUUAGGCUUCAUCUUCAAGUUUUUUUUUUACUUUUUGUAAUCAUUUUUUUUUGAGAUCAAUCAAUUUUCUUCCAUGCAA